AUAAUACUCACUCCGUCCAACAAAGGAUGUCUCAAUUUUGACCAAAUUUGAAUGCAUCUAUACACUAAGUCAUGUUUAGAUACAUUCAAAUUUUGACAAACUUGAGACAUCUUUUGUUGGACGGAGAGAGUAUGAC
rnacentral:pre_miRNA from 1 species